UACGAAGGGGGCUAGCGUUGCUCGGAAUCACUGGGCGUAAAGCGCACGUAGGCGGGUCUUUAAGUCAGGGGUGAAAUCCUGGAGCUCAACUCCAGAACUGCCUUUGAUACUGAGGAUCUCGAGUCCGGGAGAGGUGAGUGGAACUCCGAGUGUAGAGGUGAAAUUCGUAGAUAUUCGGAAGAACACCAGUGGCGAAGGCGGCUCACUGGCCCGGUACUGACGCUGACGGUGCGAAAGCGUGGGGAGCAAAGCA
rnacentral:rRNA from 1 species